AUUGAACGCUGGCGGCAGGCUUAACACAUGCAAGUCGAGCGAGCGGCGGACGGGUGAGUAAUGUAUGGGGACUGCCCGCUAGAGGGGGAUAACUACUGGAAAAGGUAGCUAAUACUGCAUACUAUCGGAUAACCCAUAUGGGAUUAGCUAGUAGGUGAGGUAAUGGCUCACCUAGGCGACGAUCCCUAGCUGGUCUGAGAGGAUGAUCAGCCCAACUGGGAAGGAGACACGGCCCAGACUCCUACGGAGUCGGCAGUGGGGAAUAGUGCACAGUGGUCGCAAGCCUGAUGCAGCCAUGCCGCGAGUAUGAAGAAGGCCCUAGGGUGGAAGAGUACUUUCAGGCUGGGGGCGUUACCGCCCGAAGGAGCACCGGCUAACUCCGUGCCAGCAGCCGCGGUAAUAC
rnacentral:rRNA from 1 species